CAUUGGUGGCCUAUCAGAAGCUGC
rnacentral:siRNA from 1 species